rnacentral:tRNA from 8 species
GUCUCCGUAGCUCAGCAGGAUAGAGCGUUCGCCUCCUAAGCGAAAGGCCGCGCGUUCGAAUCGCGCCGGGGACGCCA